AUUGAUUUGUUGCCUCUUCCAUCUUCGGAGAAGGUUAAUUUUGAUGCUAAACAACGUGCUGAAUUGAUUUUAAAAAUGCAUGAGUUAACUAAGAAAAACAUUGAGCGUAUGAAUGCUAAAUAUAAACUUGCUGGAGAUAAGGGUAGAAAACAUGUUGUGUUUGCACCUGGAGAUCUUGUUUGGUUACAUUUGCGUAAGGAUAGAUUUCCUGAUUUGCGCAAAUCAAAGCUAAUGCCACGUGCUGAUGGUCCCUUUAAGGUGUUAGAGAAAAUAAAUGAUAAUGCAUAUAAACUUGAGCUGCCUGCAGAUUUUGGGGUUAGUCCCACUUUUAACAUUGCA
rnacentral:rRNA from 1 species